UACGUCGGGUGCAAGCGUUGUCCGGAUUUAUUGGGCGUAAAGAGCUCGUAGGCGGCUCAGUAAGUCAGGUGUGAAAACUCCAGGCUCAACCUGGAGACGCCACCUGAUACUGCUGUGGCUAGAGUCCGGUAGGGGAGCAUGGAAUUCCUGGUGUAGCGGUGAAAUGCGCAGAUAUCAGGAGGAACACCAGUGGCGAAGGCGGUGCUCUGGGCCGGAACUGACGCUGAGGAGCGAAAGCGUGGGGAGCAAACAGG
rnacentral:rRNA from 1 species